UACGGAGGGGGCUAGCGUUGCUCGGAAUCACUGGGCGUAAAGCGCACGUAGGCGGACUCUUAAGUCGGUGGUGAAAUCCUGGAGCUCAACUCCAGAACUGCCUUUGAUACUGGGAAGCUCGAGUCCGGAAGAGGUGAGUGGAACUCCGAGUGUAGAGGUGAAAUUCGUAGAUAUUCGGAAAAACACCAGUGGCGAAGGCGGCUCACUGGUCCGGUACUGACGCUGAGGUGCGAAAGCGUGGGGAGCAAACAGG
rnacentral:rRNA from 1 species